AGGUCGCUUUGGCCAUGCAAGUUCAUCCAGUCACAGGUUCUGGGGAUUAAGAUGUGGAAAUUUGGGGAGGGGGGAUUAUUCUGCCUACAACAAGAUCUAAAAUAGAAGUAUAUUUUUUAAUUAAAAAUGUGUAUAUUGACAGAAUCUAAUAUUUUCAUUCACUUGUAUAAUGAAUUACUAAAUUGGGUGAACCAAGUGCAAAAGCCCAUCUGAGCUUGGAGAACUCUUCAUUAUCCAGUCGUGUUCAGAGAAAAUCUUCUGGGAUGCCAUGUAGACGCUCCAUCUCCUCUGCCACCGAGGCCAAGUCUUCAUCUCUGGCCCCUUGAUACUGCCCGUCUCCCUCCUGUCCAGGUCCAGGCUCUGCACCGCCGCCUGCCCUACUGGAAGGUGGAGCCGGGGCUGCGUUGUGGCACAACCAGCAAAGAGAGGGGGCAGAAAGCAGGAGCAGGCGGCCGGUGCCUUGAGAGGCUGCUGAGGACGCCCUGUUACAGGGGUUCCUUUGGCAAGAACAGCAUUUUCUUCCGUGGUGGUCCUUAUUCCUUGCCUUCCCAAGCUGCUGGAUUUUUCCCACCUGAAUAUUGUGUUUAAGAAAAGUUCCCCUGGAGAGGCUCUCUGAUGAAUGACCCUGCCAGCAGGUGACAUGGAGGCAGACUGACGGGUUUGAGUUUUGGCUCUCAUUUUCUGGGCCGUCCUUUCUGGGCCUCAGUCUUCUUCUAAAAUGAAACUCAUCAUCCAUGCCUGAGGGGGCGUUGAAGCGUGAAAUGCAAGGAUGGUGGAACAUGCCCAGCACAGCACCUGGCGCUUAGUAGGCUCUUUGUCUCACUGCUUCUCCCUUUGGAGCAGGGGCUCCGUUCCACUCACCUCUACACCUUCUCAGCCAUCACAGUGCCUGGCGUGUGGACGGUCUUCGUACGUGUUUUGAACAAAUGAACAAACCAGCUCACAGAGCUACUCACCUUGAUUUUAAUUGACUGAUCGCCUAAUGAAAUACCAAGUUUUGUGGGGGAUUCAGAAGAUUAUAUCAUGACAUCCCACAACUAGAAGGACCUGCAACUAAGAUAUACAACUAUGUACCGGGGAGGUUUGGGAAAUAAAGCAGAAAAAAAAAAUCAAACAGAAGAUUAUAUCAUGAAACUCCUCCCACAGGUUCUAACAAUCUGAUUGGAGGAGACAAGAUUAAUCAACACACAUUUAAGAGUGAACACAGAAGCUAACAAAUGAAAAUGAUUAAACAUGUAUGGCACAGACUGUUCAUAAUUAAGUUCACAGUUCCUCCAACAGAGCUCAGUUCUCAAAUUCUGACACUCACAGUGUUAAUUUACAUCUGUGUUGUUUGUUGACAGUUGGCUGUUCGUCAGAUCCUGGGCGUUCCGAUGGGAAGGAGAGCACUCACCUUGCAGCAGGGACCUUGUGUCUAGACGGCAGGGCUGGGUGGGAAUCUAGCAGGCAUCAGAAGAGCGCAGGGCCCAGGGGAUGGGGUGGAGGUGCCUGGAGACAGGAAAAAAAGGAGUCAAGGAGGGGAAGCGAGAGCAGACUGAAACAACAUUCAGCCACUGCACCAUUUGGCUGUUGAUUUUUUCCUCCCUCCGAGUGUGAAUAAAGUCACAGGACCUAAAUCCGGGAGCCACCUUAAAAGCGUCUGGCCGGGAGGCUUUAUGUAAUAGCUCACGAGGCAUUCAAAUCACUGCUCACACACUUUUAGGGACAGGGCAGAAAGCCCUUCGCUACCUCGGCAGAGAGCCCGCGUCUUCAUUAGACUGUUCU
ensembl:lncRNA